CUAGCAACUAUAGUGUAAUAUAAAUUUGAGCGCUCCAAAAUUAAACAACACUUAAAAUAAGUGUUUAGUAAAAUGUCUUCAUCUCUGCAACUUUGCUGUUUUAGCCCAAACUUUGCAAUUUGCUUUUCGGUUCCCUACAAUUUAGUAUUUAGUGAAUAAACUGGUUAAAUUAAUGUUUUAUUAAUUGUUAUCUCAUCAUGCUCCCCUUAGCUGGC